rnacentral:rRNA from 1 species
AGAGCGUGUAGGCGGGUUAAUAAGUCAGAUGUGAAAGCCAAUGGCUCAACCAUUGAACUGCAUUUGAAACUGUAAACCUAGAAUAUGGGAGAGGUAGAUGGAAUUUCUGGUGUAGGGGUAAAAUCCGUAGAGAUCAGAAGGAAUACCGAUUGCGAAGGCGAUCUACUGGAACAUUAUUGACGCUGAGACGCGAAAGCGUGGGGAGCAAACAGGAUUAGAUACCCUGGUAGUCCACGCCCUAAACGAUGUACACUAGUUGUUGCUAUGCUAGACAUAGCAGUAAUGCAGUUAACACAUUAAGUGUACCGCCUGGGGAGUACGGUCGCAAGAUUAAAACUCAAAGGAAUAGACGGGGACCCGCACAAGCGGUGGAGCAUGUGGUUUAAUUCGACGAUACGCGAAGAACCUUACCUGGACUUGACAUAGUAAGAACAAUUUAGAGAUAGAUUGGUGUCUGCUUGCAGAAACUUAUAUACAGGUGCUGCACGGCUGUCGUCAGCUCGUGUCGUGAGAUGUUGGGUUAAGUCCCGCAACGAGCGCAACCCUCGUCGUUAGUUGCUAACAGUUUGGCUGAGAACUCUAACGAGACUGCCUGGGUAACCAGGAGGAAGGUGAGGACGACGUCAAGUCCUCAUGG